rnacentral:rRNA from 1 species
CGGGGAAUAUUGCACAAUGGAGGGAACUCUGAUGCAGCGACGCCGCGUGAGUGAUGAAGGAAUUCGUUUCGUAAAACUCUGUUCUAUGGGAAGAAAAGGACUGUACCAUAGGAGAAAGCUCCGGCUAAAUACGUGCCAGCAGCCGCGGUAAUACGUAUGGAGCGAGCGUUGUCCGGAAUUAUUGGGCGUAAAGGGUGCGCAGGCGGCUUUACAAGUUGGAUGUGAAAUAUUGUGGCUCAACCACAAACGUGCAUCCAAAACUGCAAAGCUUGAGUUAAGGAGAGGUAAGUGGAAUUCCUGGUGUAGCGGUGGAAUGCGUAGAUAUCAGGAGGAAUACCGGUGGCGAAGGCGACUUACUGGACUUAAACUGACGCUCAGGCACGAAAGCGUGGGGAGCAAACAGG